AAAAAUGUAACUUGCCCUAUUGGUCUGUGAGAAGCCAAAACCGUUUCAUUUUCGUUAUGUGAGAAUCCAUAACUUACUUCUUGUUCUGUGAGAACCUGUCACCUUUUUGUUAUGUGAGAAUCCACAAUUUACUCCUAAUUCUAUGAGAAGCUAGAACCUUCCAUUUAUUACGUGAGAAUUUAUAACCUACCUGUCUUUGUUAUGUGAGAAGCCAUAAUUUUGCUUUUUGUUAUAUGAGAAGCCAUCACUUGUCAUUCUAUGAGAAAUCAGAAGGCUUUCAUUAAUGUUACAUAAGAACCCAUAACCCAUUAUCAUAUUUGUUUUGUGAGAAGCCAGAACCCUUUCACCUUUUAUGUGAGAAUCUAUAACAUGUCCUUUAUUUUGUGAGAACCUCGGGCCUUUCUUUUUCGUUACGUGAGAAUCUAUAACGUGUCACCUUUCUGUUAUGUGAGAAUCCAUAACAUAUUGUUAUCAUUUUAUGAGAACCUAGAACCAUUCAAACUUGUUAUAUGAGAAUCCGUAAUUUACUCAGCAAAUCAUUUCCCAUCUUUAUCAUUUUGUGAGAAACCAAAACGCUUUCAUAAUUUCUUAUGUGAGAAUUCGUAACCCACUAUCAUAUUUGUUCUAUAAGAAUAUAGAGCCUUUUAACUCAUUCAUCUUUCGUUGCGUGAGAAGCCAUAACUUGUCAUUAUUUUUAUGUGAGAAGCCAGGACCUUUCAUUUUGUUAUGUGAGAAGCCAUAACUUAUCAUUUUUGCUUUGUGAGAAGCCAUAACUCGUUAACUAUUUGUUACGUGAGAAUCUGUAACCUAUCUUUGAUUUUCAUGUGAGAGACCAUAACAUCAUCAUUACCUUUAUGUGAGAAACCAUAAAUUUAUCAUUACCUAUAUGUGAUAAACCAGAAUACUUCCCUUGUUAUGUGAGAAGUUGCAACUCAUCUUUAUCAUUUUAUGAGAAACUGCAUUGCCUUCCUUUUGUUAUGUAAGAAGCCAUAACCUUAUCAUGUCUGUUAUGUGAGAACCUGUAACAUAUCACUUAUGUUAUGUCAAACUUCAAAACCUAAGGUAAGGGGGAGAAAGGGAAAACAAGGGUUUGAGAGAGGGAUUCUGUAGGAGCUGCUUGCCUUGUUGUUGUUGCUGAAAAAUCUAAGGUAAGAGGGAGAAAUAACAUUCACUAUGGGUGUAUUGCAUGAUAGGGUAGAAAAGGGAGGUCCUUGCUCUCAUUAGGGUUGUAUAAAUUAGUUUUGAUGAAUUAAUAUUGUAUGAGAAAUUUGGAAAUUGAUGAAUUGGUUGUGAUUAUACAUGUGAUUGGUGACUAAAAUUGUGUUUGAAUCAUCAUGACUAUACAUGUAUAAAAUUCUGCCACUAAUGAAUGUUUGAAUGCUUGGAUUAUGAAUAUGAUUGUUGGUGAAUGGUUGAUGGAAUUGCA
rnacentral:lncRNA from 1 species